UACAGAGGUCCCGAGCGUUGUUCGGAUUCACUGGGCGUAAAGGGUGCGUAGGUGGUGAGGUAAGUCGGAUGUGAAAUCUCCGGGCUCAACCCGGAAAUGGCAUUGGAAACUACCUUGCUAGAGGAUUUGAGGGGGAUUGGAAUACUUGGUGUAGCAGUGAAAUGCGUAGAUAUCAAGUGGAACACCAGUGGCGAAGGCGAAUCCCUGGAAAAUACCUGACACUGAGGCACGAAAGCUAGGGGAGCAAACAGG
rnacentral:rRNA from 1 species